rnacentral:rRNA from 1 species
GUGUCAGCAGCCGCGGUAACACGUAGGGCGCAAGCGUUGUCCGGAAUCAUUGGGCGUAAAGAGCUCGUAGGCGGUUUGUCGCGUCUGCUGUGAAAACUCGGGGCUUAACCCCGAGCUUGCAGUGGAUACGGGCAGACUAGAGGUAGGUAGGGGAGAAUGGAAUUCCCGGUGUAGCGGUGAAAUGCGCAGAUAUCGGGAGGAACACCGGUGGCGAAGGCGGUUCUCUGGGCCUUACCUGACGCUGAGGAGCGAAAGCGUGGGGAGCGAACAGGAUUAGAAACCCCCGUAGUCC